rnacentral:rRNA from 1 species
GUUGAUCCUGCCGGACCCGACUGCUAUUUGGGUGAGAAUAAGCCAUGCGAGUUGAAUGGGAUACCUAAAGUUCCCAUAGCAAACUGCUCAGUAACACAUGAUCAACUUACCCUAUAGAGAAAAAUAACCUCGGGAAACUGAGGAUAAUGUUUCACAAUUGAAUUGGCUUGGAAAAGUUUUUCAAUGAAAAGGAUAAAAAAAAUGGUUUUUAUCUGCUAUAGGAUAGGAUCGUGUUCGAUUAUGGUUGUUGGUGAGAUAAUGGCUCACCAAGCCGAUAAUCGAUAGGGGCCGUGAGAGCGGGAGCCCCGAGAUGGGUACUGAGACAACGACCCAGGCCUUACGAGGCGCAGCAGGCGCGGAACCUCCGCAAUACACGAAAGUGUGACGGGGUUACCCAAAGUGUUCAAUAGAACUGUGGUAGGUGAGUAAUGUCCCCUACUAGAAAGGAGAGGGCAAGGCUGGUGCCAGCCGCCGCGGUAAAACCAGCUCUUCAAGUGGUCAGGAUAAUUAUUGGGCUUAAAGUGUCCGUAGCCGGUUUAGUAAGUUCCUGGUAAAAUCGGGUAGCUUAACUAUCUGCAUGCUAGGAAUACUGCUAUACUAGAGGGCGGGAGAGGUCUGAGGUACUACAGGGGUAGGGGUGAAAUCUUAUAAUCCUUGUAGGACCACCAGUGGCGAAGGCGUCAGACUGGAACGCGCCUGACGGUGAGGGACGAAAGCCAGGGGAGCGGACCGGAUUAGAUACCCGGGUAGUCCUGGCCGUAAACGAUGCAUACUAGGUGAUGGUACGGCCAUGAGCCGUAUCAGUGCCGUAGGGAAACCGUUAAGUGUGCCGCCUGGGAAGUACGGUCGCAAGGCUAAAACUUAAAGGAAUUGGCGGGGGAGCACCACAAGGGGUGAAGCCUGCGGGUUCAAUUGGAUUCAACGCCGGAAAAUCACUAGUGCGGCCGCCU